AACCUGGUUGAUCCUGCCAGUAGUCAUAUGCUUGUCUCAAAGACUAAGCCAUGCAUGUCUAAGUAUAAAUGGUAUACAGUAAAACUGCGAAUGGCUCAUUAAAACAGUUAUAGUUUAUUUGGUAAUCGAAUUUACAUGGAUAACCGUGGUAAUUCUAGAGCUAAUACAUGCCGUAAAGCCCGACUUCUCGGAAGGGCCGUGUUUAUUAGAUAACAGACCAACAGCUUCGGCUAUUGUGGUGAAUCAUAGUAACUAAUCGGAUCGCAUGGGCUAGUCCCGCGACAAACCAUUCAAGUUUCUGCCCCAUCAGCUUUCGACGGUAGUGUAUUGGACUACCGUGGCUUUUACGGGUAACGGAGGAUUAGGGUUCGAUUCCGGAGAGGGAGCCUGAGAAACGGCUACCACAUCUAAGGAAGGCAGCAGGCGCGUAAAUUACCCAAUCCUGACUCAGGGAGGUAGUGACAAGAAAUAACGGACCGAGGCCUUCGGGCUUCGGGAUUGCAAUGAGCCGAAUUUACACCCCUUAGCGAAGAUCGAUUGGAGGGCAAGUCCGGUGCCAGCAGCCGCGGUAAUUCCAGCUCCAAUAGCGUAUAUUAUGUUGUUGCAGUUAAAAAGCUCGUAGUUGGAUUUCUGGGAAAGUGCAUAUGUCGCUAACGUGAGUGCAUCUGCGCUUCUCAU
rnacentral:rRNA from 1 species